UGGGGAAUAUUGCACAAUGGGCGAAAGCCUGACGCAGCAACGCCGCGUGAGUGAUGAAGGCCUUCGGGUCGUAAAGCUCUGUCGGAGGGAACGAAUGCUCCUGAAGUUAACAGCCUCAGGAGGUGACGGUACCCUCAAAGGAAGCACCGGCUAACUCUGUGCCAGCAGCCGCGGUAAUACGUAGGUGGCAAGCGAUACUCGGAAUCACUAGGCGUAAAGCGCAGGUAGGCGGUUUGAUAAGUCUUUUGUGAAAGCUCCCGGCUUAACUGGGAGAGGUCAAGGGAUACUAUCGGACUAGAGUGUGGUAGGGGAUACUGGAAUUCCUGGUGUAGCGGUGAAAUGCGUAGAUAUCAGGAGGAAUACCUAUGGCGAAAGCAGGUAUCUGGGCCAUCACUGACGCUGAGCUGCGAAAGCUAGGGGAGCAAACAGGAUUAGAUACCCUGGUAGUCCCUGAGCGGGCUGGCAAGGCGCAU
rnacentral:rRNA from 1 species